rnacentral:lncRNA from 1 species
CUAUAAAUGCUGACAUCCUCUGUAUCUGCUUGAUAACCAGAAAGACCUAGAGAAUGGUUUCCAUAGCGCGAAGACGGAUUAUUCUUAUUAUUCAGUCAUGAGCCUUGUUAUCCUCUGAUGGUUCGUCUGACUCAUCCAGUGCUGAAAAACUCAUGGGCCCCUCCAUAUGAGCUGGCUUCCACGUCACCUCUUAGUUACCCAUACUCCUCUGGGGUCCCAGAUGAAAUACGUCCAGAUGGAUUGUCCAGUAAGCAUGUGGUGUUCAGCUGGCUGACCCACCAGGUGGACUGUGGUUUUUAUGGGCCUUCACCAGGGAAGAGGUUAGUAACGAAGCAGAUUAAUGCCAUGACACUGCCCACUCCCCACAUGUCAACAGCUUCUUUGUGGAUCUUGCCUGCCACCAUUUGUGAAGGGAUCAAAUCCAGACACAAAGGCGACUUUUCCGAAGACGCCUUCCCCAUUGAAUUCCAACACCUCGUAGCAGGUGAGACCUCCUGUCUCUAAUUGAAUACCUGAAGAUAUUUUUGCACAGGAAAUGUUUCAAAUGCGUUUGAAAGGUCACAGACUUGACUAAGUUCUAUAUAUCUAAAACUUUGAUGAUGUCGUAGAUGUUGUCCCCAGGCAGCUUUGAACAUGAUGCAUCAAAGGCAAGAGGUGGAAAAGUCAAAGGAAAAGUCCUCCUUCACAACUAACUAACAAGUUCAGUGCACAUAUAGAGUGCAAAUAUCCCCUUCAGGCUUAAUGUUCUUGCUCACAUGUUCUCUUAACAUGUAAUUAUUGUACCGGGUCAAAGCGGCAGCUCAGGAAACCUCAUGAUUUCUACUCCUGGAUGUGCAUUCAUAGUGAGUCCUUUUAAAGAGGUCAGGAGUUAAUAGGAUGUAAAUAUGGCACAUUAGUGAGAUUUCAUGACUCUGAUACUUACAUUUGCCAGAUCCAAUGACGCAUAUAUGAGUUCAUGCCAAACUCAUCUAUAAAGUUGUUAACCUUUGAGAGCGAGUAUGGGGGUACACUAUGUGAUGGAAACUCACAGCUCUGAGGAGCUGAUCUAUCUCACGCACUUACAUUUAUACUGAAACUCUGCCGGGCGCUGCAGACAGACCCAUUGCACAAAUUGUCUCCUCUAUUUGCUUUUCUGCUUCCUGUUUAAAUGCAGCUCAGGCAGGAGAGUG